rnacentral:tRNA from 1 species
GUAGAGUAGCUUAAAAAAAGCAUUAAACUUUUAAUUUAAGGAUGGUUGAUACCUUUUACGAG